GACGGAGGAUGCAAGCGUUAUCCGGAAUGAUUGGGCGUAAAGCGUCCGCAGGUGGCUAGUCAAGUCCGCUGUCAAAGCGUGAGGCUUAACCUCAUACAGGCAGUAGAAAUUGACCCGCUAGAGGGUGGUAGGGGUAGAGGGAAUUCCCAGUGUGGCGGUGAAAUGCGUAGAUAUUGGGAAGAACACCAGUGGCGAAAGGGCUCUACUGGGCCACUCCUGACACUGAGGGACGAAAGCUAGGGGAGCGAAAGGG
rnacentral:rRNA from 1 species